CAGUAGCCGCGGUAAUACGGAGGGAGCUAGCGUUGUUCGGAAUUACUGGGCGUAAAGCGCGCGUAGGCGGUUACUCAAGUCAGAGGUGAAAGCCCGGGGCUCAACCCCGGAACUGCCUUUGAAACUAGGUGACUAGAAUCUUGGAGAGGUCAGUGGAAUUCCGAGUGUAGAGGUGAAAUUCGUAGAUAUUCGGAAGAACACCAGUGGCGAAGGCGACUGACUGGACAAGUAUUGACGCUGAGGUGCGAAAGCGUGGGGAGCAAACAGGAUUAGAGACCCCAGUAGUCCCUGUCUCUUAUAC
rnacentral:rRNA from 1 species